GACGAACGCUGGCGGCGUGCCUAAUACAUGCAAGUCGAACGCAGUGGGGACGGGUGAGUAACACGUGGGUAACCUCCCAUCAGAGGGGAUAACACUUGGAAACAGGUGCUAAACCGAUACUGAUGGAUGGACCCGCGGUGCAUUAGCUAGUUGGUGAGGUAACGGCUCACAAAGGCAACGAUGCAUAGCCGACCGUAGAGGGUGAUAGGCAAAACGGUGACUGAGACACGGACCAGACUCCGACGUGAGGCAGAAGUAGGGAAUCUUCGGCAAUGGACGAAAGUCGGACCGAGCAACGCCGCGGGAGUGAAGAAGUUUUUCGGAGCGUAAAACUCUGUUGUUAGAGAAGCGGUAUCUAAUCAGAAAGACACGGCUAACUACGUGCCAGCCGCCGCGUUAAUUC
rnacentral:rRNA from 1 species